rnacentral:rRNA from 1 species
CAGCCGCCGCGGUAAUACGAAGGGGGCUAGCGUUGUUCGGAUUUACUGGGCGUAAAGCGCACGUAGGCGGACUUUUAAGUCAGGGGUGAAAUCCCGGGGCUCAACCCCGGAACUGCCUUUGAUACUGGGAGUCUUGAGUUCGAGAGAGGCGAGUGGAAUUGCGAGUGUAGAGGUGAAAUUCGUAGAUAUUCGCAGGAACACCAGUGGCGAAGGCGGCUCACUGGCUCGAUACUGACGCUGAGGUGCGAAAGCGUGGGGAGCAAACAGGAUUAGAUACCCCAGUAGUCCCUGUCUCUUAUAC